UAAACCAAACUUAAAACAUUUCAGUCAUUUUCUAGGGUUUCUAGAGAGCUCGAGCGGAGGCGAUUUUGGGGCGACUGUGCUGUGUGUGCUUGUUUGGCUAAAAUCCACCAAACCGACCACCGAUCUUUGCUCUUUUGUUAUCUUCGUCGAAGAACAAGGCAGGAAUCGGAGAAUCUGAAGCUAUUGUGGCUCGAAAAUGGGUCAUCGAUUAAGAUGAUUUUUGCCGGACAUUGUUUAGGGUCUGGUGUCGCCGCCUUCCUGACGAUGAUCGUGGUGAACCACGGUGACCUGCUCGGCGGGGUUUCGAGGAGUCAUGUGCGGUGUUAUGCGAUUGCGCGUCGCUCAAUUUAGCUGUGAAGUAUGCCGAUGUUAUAGACUCUGUGAUAUUGCAGAGACUGUUUUCUUUCCCUCCUCAAAGUGAUGGUGAAAACGAUGAGAUUGUUGAGCAUGUGCCUCUGGCUCAGCUUCGAGAAAUGGAUCAGUUGCGUAAUACUAUUGCUGACCGAAUCUGGAAUUAUCUUGGGUACUCUUGAUCCUCCGAGAGUGAUGAUAUGAAGUGUGUUGAUGCUCUCUUGAAGGUGACUUGUGCUGUUAUGAAGAUGAUGUGUCGUUGCCAUUGUCAUCUACUUUAUGAACAUAUUAUCAAUUUUUAGUCCCAACUAUGUAUUGUUACUGCUUUGUUCUAAACAUUUUAUGUAGAACUUAAACUUGUUUAAUUUGUUGGUUGAAUAUUUAAGCACUUGUAAAUGGUAUACACUUUAUUCCA